rnacentral:sRNA from 1 species
GCCGGGCGUGGUGGUGGGCGCCUGUAGUCCCAGCUACUCAGGAGGUUGAGGCAGGAGAAUGGCAUGAACCUAGGAGGCGGAGCUUGCAGUGAGCUCAGAUCGCGCCACUGCACUGCAACCUGGGGGACACAGCGAGACUCCGUCUCAAAAAAAAAAAAAAUUAAUUUAAAAGAAUUUUUUUUGAGACUGAGUUUCACUCUUGUUGCCCAGGCUGGAGUGCAGUGGCGCGUUCUCCACUCACUGCAACCUCUGCCUCCUAAGUUCAAGUGAUUCUCCUGCCUCA